UAUAUUUUAGUAUAUGAGGUAUAAAAAUUUUUGAUAUUUGAGGAAACAGUUUAAUUCUGUUAAGUAUAA
rnacentral:tRNA from 1 species